rnacentral:rRNA from 1 species
ACGCACGCUGGCGGCAUGCCUAACACAUGCAAGUCGAACGAGACCUUCGGGUCUAGUGGCGCACGGGUGCGUAACGCGUGGGAACCUGCCCUUAGGUUCGGAAUAACUCCCCGAAAGGGGUGCUAAUACCGGAUAAUGUCUUCGGACCAAAGAUUUAUCGCCUUUGGAUGGGCCCGCGUUGGAUUAGCUAGUUGGUAGGGUAAAAGCCUACCAAGGCGACGAUCCAUAGCUGGUCUGAGAGGAUGAUCAGCCACACUGGGACUGAGACACGGCCCAGACUCCUACGGGAGGCAGCAGUGGGGAAUAUUGGACAAUGGGCGAAAGCCUGAUCCAGCAAUGCCGCGUGAGUGAUGAAGGCCUUAGGGUUGUAAAGCUCUUUUACCCGGGAUGAUAAUGACAGUACCGGGAGAAUAAGCUCUGGCUAACUCCGUG